AUAACUCCUGGGAAGAAGAGGACUGGGAGGAAAGGGGGAGGUGUAUGUAAAAGAGAGAAGAGUGAGAAACAACAGUGUACACAGGACAACUCUGGGAAAGGCAUCUGAGGAUUCAUUCCUACUUCCUGCCUGCAGUGGAAAGUGUGAUAAAAGGCUGAUGAUGGAGAGAUGCAUCAUCGUUGGACAUAUCCUGUUAUGACUGAGUCAUUAAAAGAUACAACAUCCAUCACCAGUCAGCUGUUUUUGUAAAUCAACUGGCUGCAGAAAGCAUGGUCGACCAGACCAUGCUUUGUGAGGUACCAGUGUUGUGAUGAUGGUGUGAGAAUGUAUUCUGUGUCUUUGCUUGCAGCGGUUUAACUAAUUAUGACAUUAAACUAGCGGUUUAACUAA